UCAGGCUGGUUGAGCAUGGACAGCUCCAUGACCAAAGGUUGCCAGCAUAGCGGGGCUGGUCUCACUGCUCCUGUCACUGCCUUCAAAUUUGUGCCAACAGAGCCAGAAAGGAAUCAAACUAUGAAACUUCAGAACUGCGCAUCACAAGGACUCCUCUAAACCAAUUGCUGCAGUUUUGAGAUGGUCAUAAUAGAAAUGGAUUUCAAUACAUUCAGCAAAAGUGGAGGAAUGUUGUGCAAAAGAGGCAAUGGUCUACAC
rnacentral:lncRNA from 1 species